GUAAAUAACUAGGGGCGCCAAUUGGCUGAGAAGAACCCUUUGAACCUGAGAUGGAUAAUGCCAGCGGAGGAAAGUGAAUUGUGUGAUGC
rnacentral:ncRNA from 2 species